UACGGAGGGUGCAAGCGUUGUCCGGAAUCACUGGGCGUAAAGGGAGCGUAGGCGGGUUUUUAAGUCAGGUGUUUAAUCCCGGGGCCCAACCCCGGACAGGCACUUGAAACUGGGAAUCUUGAAUAGUGGAGAGGUCAGUGGAAUUGGGGGUGUAGCGGUGGAAUGCGUAGAGAUCCCCAAGAACACCCGUUGCGAAGGCGGCUGACUGGACACAUAUUGACGCUGAGGCUCGAAAGCAUGGGGGAGCAAACAGG
rnacentral:rRNA from 1 species